rfam:Gavia stellata contig6930, whole genome shotgun sequence.
UGGAAAGGGCAGUGGCAGGAUCGUAGCCCGUGAAGUUAAUCUGAGGUGUGAUUAUUGCUAGUUGAAAACUUUUCCCAAUACCUCACCAUGACGACUUGAAAUACAGUUGGCAGCGGCACUAAAUCGAAUUUUUGGUGCACUUAGCAGUG